CAAUAGCGUAUACUAAAGUUGUUGCAGUUAAAAAGCUCGUAGUCGAAUAUAGGUUGUUUGGAUGCGCGAGCACUCUUGUUUAACUUGAGAUGCUUGCGCCCAUUAGCCGCCCUUGUGGGGCUCGAUGUUCUUGAUUAUCAAGAAUACUCAAUCGAUCCCACACAUUACUGUGAACAAAAUAGAGUGUUCAUGGCAGGCCAUUAGGGCUUGAAUACCGCAGCAUGGAAUAAUAGAAUAGGACUUCCGGUUCUAUUUUAUUGGUUUUUGGAGCCGAAGUAAUGAUUAAUAGGGAUAGUUGGGGGCACUCGUACUCCGUUGUCAGAGGUGAAAUUCUUGGAUUGACGGAAGACGAACAACUGCGAAAGCAUCUGCCAAGGAUGUUUUCAUUG
rnacentral:rRNA from 1 species